CGAAGUCCAGGACGCGUGGGCGCGGUGACAGGUGACCAGCGAGGGGCCCGCUGGCGGCGACGGCCGCGGACCUGGGGGCGGGGCGGUGAGCGGGGAGGGUCACUUCGGGGAGAAGGAAAACAGGGGUCUGCGGUUGCUCUGCCCGGCAGCCGGGGCGGGGCCUGGAGCGAGCUGCGUCCCCACCGCUUCUAGGAAUGUCCGCCCGCUGGGCAGCCGGCCCCCAAGGGCUUUGAGGGGGAGCCGCGUUUACGGAAAACUCGUCUCCGGGCACACCCCGGCUGGCUCCGACCGCAGGCCGCUGGCCCCGUCCGGUUGGUUGGUCCAGCCCCGGGCGAGCGCACCAGCCCUCACUCAUAGCCGGGCUCCGGUGCUCUCGCCCCUGGUGCCCCGGGGCCCCCAGUCCCCCUCCCCAGGGCCACCUGCCCUCUUGCGGAGUGAGUACUGCCAGCUGUCGGGCAGAGCUGCCAGCCCCCCGCCAGGGCAUCAAGCUUUCAGCACCCCGAAUCACAGCACCCCCCCUUCAGCCCGCAGUCUCUCGUAGAGGGGCGUGCGGCUUGGUGCAAUGCAUGGAAGCUUCGAGAAAAAGUUCAGCUCUUCACUUGAAAUAUUACCUUUUCAAGUAUGGUGAAUGCAACCGCAAGUAGAGGCUUUCCCUGGACAUUUUCAAAUCCUGUGGGUUUUCUCAGGCUCUCUGAACACGGAGAUGAACUCCGAACUCUCUUUUUCAUGAUGUGUCUCUGAGCAAGGGAACCACGGGAAGCCCAGGCUGGCAAUGCUUCCCAUCAGACAACUCUGACUCGAGCCACCAUUUGAAACUAUCCCCAAGGCUGUUGUCUUCAACCUUUACUUAAAGAUCAUUUCUGUGAAGCAUCCAAUUUCUGCUGCUCCUUUGGGCUGCGGUUUAAGACAGACUUCGCAGUAUUUACUGUUUCUAGUUUUGAGCUGACAACUAUUUAAGGGCAAGAGAUUUCAGCUGCCACCACCCUUCACAGCUUUUGCCACCAACACGUUUGCCAGACAGAACUAGCUGGAGCUCCGGGAAGCUGAGGAAACCAGUUUCAUAUGGUACAAGGAGAAAGAUUUUAGAAUUUGGAGUUGUUUUGCUGCUGUUACGGUCUGUGUUCUCUGUCCCACUUGGAAUGUGGGGCGCUGUGAACUGUGGCGUCUGUGUGGCCUACAGGAAUAAUCAGUGUCACUCAUCUUAGGGUAGUCAGCUCUGCUGGGGUCACUCACAUUCCUGGCUGUGGUGACUCCGCUCUGCUCCCCAUACCUCUUCUCUAGAAGGCUAGCCUGGGCAUGUUAUCAGAGUGAAGGCACAAAUGCACCAGAAACUCACAGCCUCUGGAGGCCUAGACUUAGAGCUGGAACAGGGUCAAGACCAGUGAAUUCUAGGGGCCCAGGAAAGUCUCAAGGUCGCCCCCAUUUUUAAGGCAUUGGGAAGUAAACUCUGCAAAGAACUGUAAAGUCACAAGACAAAAUGGAUUGAGAGGGGGAGUGCUGCAGAAUGGGGCCAUCCAAGCGACCCGCCGCAGCCCUACACUGAGGUGCGGGUCCCCUCCUCCCUGGAGUUCUCUCACGGUGCCUGUUCAUCGUGCCAUCUGCCAGCCCUACGACAGCACUCGCAUGCAUACCCAGCAAGUCCCACUUCUGAAUGCCUUGCUGGCUUCCACGUCUCCAGGACUGCUCCCUCUGCUGGAAAGCUCGCCCCCCCCAACCCUCGAGUCCCCAAGACUCCUCCGCCAAGGGGCUUCCUGGGAUCAGCCAGUAUCGAGUGCAUUUGUGGGGUUCCUUCACUUCAAUCGAAACAGAAUUUCUGAAAGCAGUGGCUGUGCACACACUUGGCCGCAAUCUGAGCCACCGCGCAACCCCCCCGAGGAGAACAGGCAUCUGGACACCGCAAGCAGAGCUAUGUAAAGCUAAUACUCGCAGACGCUGUGGGCUUCAGCCUGUCUAAGGAGGCAGGGAGCUGGCAUGGUAUAUUAAAUUCACUGAAUUUUACAGCGAACAUCUGGCCUCAAGGACAGCUGUGGUCAGGUUUAGUGAAAGACUUCUGUGAAAAAUGGUAACGUCAAAAUAUUUGAGCCUCUGUUUGC